UACGAAGGGGGCUAGCGUUGCUCGGAAUUACUGGGCGUAAAGCGCACGUAGGCGGCUUGUUAAGUCGGGGGUGAAAUCCUGGAGCUCAACUCCAGAACUGCCUUCGAUACUGUCAAGCUCGAGUCCGGAAGAGGAGUGUGGAAUUCCUGGUGUAGCGGUGAAAUGCGUAGAUAUCAGGAGGAACACCCGGUGGCGAAGGCGGGUCUCUGGCCGAUACUGACGCUGAGGAGCGAAAGCGUGGGAGCGAACAGG
rnacentral:rRNA from 1 species